GUGGGGAAUCUUGCGCAAUGGGGGGAACCCUGACGCAGCGACGCCGCGUGCGGGAUGGAGGCCUUCGGGUCGUAAACCGCUUUCAGCAGGGAUGAGACAAGACGGUACCUGCAGAAGAAGCCCCGGCUAACUACGUGCCAGCAGCCGCGGUAAUACGUAGGGGGCGAGCGUUAUCCGGAUUCAUUGGGCGUAAAGAGCGCGUAGGCGGCCGGGAGGGCCGGGGGUCAAAUGCGGGGGCUCAACCCCCGCCCGCCCCCGGAACCGCCCGGCUCGGGUCCGGCAGGGGAGGGUGGAACACCCGGUGUAGCGGUGGAAUGCGCAGAUAUCGGGUGGAACACCGGUGGCGAAGGCGGCCCUCUGGGCCGGCACCGACGCUGAGGCGCGAAAGCUGGGGGAGCGAACAGGAUUAGAAACCCUAGUAGUCC
rnacentral:rRNA from 1 species